AUCUCCCAGUGCUACUGAGAGAAGAGGAACAGAGGACUGAGGCUUCCCGCUGGGGCUGACAAACGGCUGUGGAACAUCUACGCUGCCCUGCUGUCAGCUAAAAGGUUGCAGACUGGUAACACAUCAAUCAGUGUGCCACUGCAGGUACACGGCACAGCGUGGCCCGCCUGCCACGGGAGAAGCCUCCUGGCAUGAGGUUGAAUUGACACGCAGCCCUCAUCAUGCCAGCUCUACCCUGCGGGACUCUUUAUACCCAGUACAGCACAGCUCAUGAGAUGGCUCUGAAUGAAACAUCAUCCUGAAUACACCCAGAAUUGAAAGAGAGAAAAUGAACUGAGGCCAGCCUGAAGCUCCGAAUGAGUGAGGUGGACAAUCUGUUCCACGCGUCCACACUAGCGGUGACGAAGAACAACAAAGUGGCCCCGUGACGACAGCAGGGCGGGCGCUCCUUCCACUACCAGCACUUCGUGAUGUUUAGAACUGGUCAUCAACACUCAGGGAGUUUUUCCCUGCCACGGUCAGCUCUGACUUGCUUAUUAGGAAUACAUUUAAAAAUUUUAUUUACAUUUUAUAUCCGCAGGUUCUGCAAAGCUGCUUUGUGACAAUGUCCAUUGUUAAAAGCGCUAGAAAAUUUGAAACGGAGUUGAAAUCGAUAGGUAAAGUAUCCUAUUCCUACGUAUCCUUGCCUGCUCUCAUUCUGCACAAAUGACAGAUCUGCAUGGAACACCACUAGACCGAUGUGCUCCUUUUUUGUAAGCACAUCAAGCAAAUUAAUUGCAAUCAAACAGCCUGAAACAACACAUGAGGAAACAUCAAAUGCGGCUAUUUAACUUCGUGUCUUGUACAGCUAAAUACAUGAUUGAGCCAGUCGCACCUGAGCGACAACAAAGCAUUUAACGCAUUCAGAACAAUUUCCAAGUGAGUGUGUGGAAAACAAAAACGAAUGUCUAAGCUGAAUCUGCUAAGCGUUCGAAGCUGGAGAUGUGCAUUAGUAAAUUCUCAGUGUGGGUGAGGUAAAGCAGACAGGAGAGUUUCAGUUACAGUUCAGGAAGUGGUUUACUCACUGAGAGAAGCUUCCAUGUGAUGGGACGCACUUGCCGUGGAAUUCCCGACCAG